rnacentral:rRNA from 1 species
UAUGUGAAGAAACAAUAAUAAAAAUUAGGGACAAGAAGACCCUAUGAAUUUUUAUAAAUUCUUUAAAAAUUUAAAGAAUUUAUUUAUUGGGGCGAUUAAUAUAUUAACUAAAAAAAAUGAUCCAUAUUAAUGAUUAAAUGAGUAUACUCUACGGGAUAACAGCGUAAAAUAGAUAGAUCUUAUAGAAAAAAUAUGUGCGACCCGAUGUAAA